rnacentral:rRNA from 1 species
GAUGAACGCUGGCGGCGUGCUUAACACAUGCAAGUCGAACGGGAAACCUUUUAUUGAAGCUUCGGCAGAUUUAACUGGUUUCUAGUGGCGGACGGGUGAGUAACGCGUGGGUAACCUGCCUUGUACAGGGGGAUAACAGUCAGAAAUGACUGCUAAUACCGCAUAAGCGCACAGGACCGCAUGGUCCGGUGUGAAAAACUCCGGUGGUAUAAGAUGGACCCGCGUUGGAUUAGCUAGUUGGCAGGGUAACGGCCUACCAAGGCGACGAUCCAUAGCCGGCCUGAGAGGGUGAACGGCCACAUUGGGACUGAGACACGGCCCAGACUCCUACGGGAGGCAGCAGUGGGGAAUAUUGCACAAUGGGGGAAACCCUGAUGCAGCGACGCCGCGUGAAGGAAGAAGUAUCUCGGUAUGUAAACUUCUAUCAGCAGGGAAGAAA